AUUGAACGCUGGCGGCAGGCUUAACACAUGCAAGUCGAGCGGGGUGAUGUAGCUUGCUACCUAACCUAGCGGCGGACGGGUGAGUAAUGCUUAGGAAUCUGCCUAUUAGUGGGGGACAACAUUCCGAAAGGAAUGCUAAUACCGCAUACGCCCUACGGGGGAAAGCAGGGGAUCUUCGGACCUUGCGCUAAUAGAUGAGCCUAAGUCGGAUUAGCUAGUUGGUGGGGUAAAGGCCUACCAAGGCGACGAUCUGUAGCGGGUCUGAGAGGAUGAUCCGCCACGCUGGGACUGAGACACGGCCCAGACUCCUACGGGAGGCAGCAGUGGGGAAUAUUGGACAAUGGGCGGAAGCCUGAUCCAGCCAUGCCGCGUGUGUGAAGAAGGCCUUUUGGUUGUAAAGCACUUUAAGCGAGGAGAAGGCUACUUAGAUUAAUACUCUGGGAUAGUGGACGUUACUCGCAGAAUAAGCACCGGCUAACUCUGUGCCAGCCGCCGCGGUAACAC
rnacentral:rRNA from 1 species